rnacentral:rRNA from 1 species
AUUGAACGCUGGCGGAAUGCUUUACACAUGCAAGUCGAACGGCAGCACGGGGCAACCUGGUGGCGAGUGGCGAACGGGUGAGUAAUACAUCGGAACGUGCCCAAUCGUGGGGGAUAACGUAGCGAAAGUUACGCUAAUACCGCAUACGAUCUACGGAUGAAAGCGGGGGAUCGCAAGACCUCGCGCGAGUGGAGCGGCCGAUGUCAGAUUAGGUAGUUGGUGGGGUAAAGGCUCACCAAGCCAACGAUCUGUAGCUGGUCUGAGAGGACGACCAGCCACACUGGAACUGAGACACGGUCCAGACUCCUACGGGAGGCAGCAGUGGGGAAUUUUGAACAAUGGGCGCAAGCCUGAUCCAGCCAUUCCGCGUGCAGGAUGAAGG